rnacentral:rRNA from 1 species
UACGUAGGUGGCAAGCGUUGUCCGGAUUUACUGGGUGUAAAGGGCGUGCAGCCGGGCUGACAAGUCAGAUGUGAAAUCCCGCGGCUCAACCGCGGAACUGCAUUUGAAACUGUCAGUCUUGAGUACCGGAGAGGUCAUCGGAAUUCCUUGUGUAGCGGUGAAAUGCGUAGAUAUAAGGAGGAACACCAGUGGCGAAGGCGGAUGACUGGACGGCAACUGACGGUGAGGCGCGAAAGCGUGGGGAGCAAACAGG